GACGCUGAGGCUCGAAAGCAUGGGUAGCGAACAGGAUUAGAUACCCUGGUAGUCCAUGCCGUAAACGAUGAGUGCUAAGUGUUGGAGGGUUUCCGCCCUUCAGUGCUGCAGCUAACGCAUUAAGCACUCCGCCUGGGGAGUACGACCGCAAGGUUGAAACUCAAAGGAAUUGACGGGGGCCCGCACAAGCGGUGGAGCAUGUGGUUUAAUUCGAAGCUACGCGAAGAACCUUACCAGGUCUUGACAUCUUCUGCCAAUCUUAGAGAUAAGACGUUCCCUUCGGGGACAGAAUGACAGGUGGUGCAUGGUUGUCGUCAGCUCGUGUCGUGAGAUGUUGGGUUAAGUCCCGCAACGAGCGCAACCCUUAUUAUCAUUUGCCAGCAUUCAGUUGGGCACUCUGGUGAGACUGCCGGUGACAAACCGGAGGAAGGUGGGGAUGACGUCAAAUCAUUCAUCCCCUUAUGACCUUGGGCUACACACGUGCUACAAUGGACGGUACAACGAGUCGCAAAGUCGCGAGGCUAAGCUAAUCUCUUAAAGCCGUUCUCAGUUCGGAUUGCAGGCUGCAACUCGCCUACAUGAAGUUGGAAUCGCUAGUAAUCGCGGAUCAGCAUGCCGCGGUGAAUACG
rnacentral:rRNA from 1 species